rnacentral:rRNA from 1 species
AAAGAGCGCGCAGACGGCUAGCUAAGUUGGAGGUUAAAGCUCCCGGCUCAACUGGGAGAGGUCCUUCAAAACCUGGUUAGCUAGAGGGCAGGAGAGGGACGUGGAAUUUCGGGUGGAGUAGUGAAAUGCGUAGAUAUCCGAAGGAACACCAGUGGCGAAGGCGGCGUCCUGGACUGCACCUGACGCUCAGGCGCGAAAGCUAGGGUAGCGAACGGGAUUAGAAACCCCGGUAGUCCUAGCCGUAAACGAUGAACACUAGAUGUCGUGGGUUAACGCUCACGGUGUCGCAGUUAACGCGAUAAGUGUUCCGCCUGGGGAUUACGACCGCAAGGUUAAAACUCAAAGGAAUUGACGGGAGCCCGCACAAGCAGUGGAGCGUGUGGUUUAAUUCGAGGCUACACGAAGAACCUUACCUGGGCUUGACAUGAUGGUGGUAGGGAACCGAGAGGGGACCGACCUUCGGGAGCCAUCACAGGUGCUGCAUGGCUGUCGUCAGCUCGUGUCGUGAGAUGUUCGGUUAAGUCCGGUAACGAGCGCAACCCUCGUCGUUAGUUAUACGUGUCUAACGAGACUGCCUGUGAUAAGCAGGAGGAAGGCGGGGAUGACGUCAAGUCAGCAUGGCCCUUACGUCCAGGGCUACACACACGCUACAAUGGUCGGUACAAUGGGUCGCCAAGCCGUGAGGCGGAGCCAAUCCUCCAAAGCCGACCUCAGUUCGGAUUGCAGGCUGCAACUCGCCUGCAUGAAGCUGGAAUUGCUAGUAACCGCAGGUCAGCUAUACUGCGGUGAAUACGUUCCCGGGCUUUGUACACACCGCCCGUCACGUCAUGGAAGCUGGUCACGCCCGAAGAUGGUGGGCUAACCGCAAGGAGGCAGCCAUUUAAGGCAGGGCCAGUAACUGGGACGAAGUCGUA